GAAUGGAUGUGAGCUGUGCCCUCUGUCACCCCACUGACCACCAGGGUUGAUUCGGGCUAUCUGGCUGGCUGGGGGUGUCCCCUUCCUCCCUUACCAUUCCCCGUGUGCCCCUUCCAAAGCUGCACGUCGGUGGAAGAGGACAGAGGACAACCACCCCCGACAGAGGAUAGAGGAGGACAUUCCUGAGUCAGUGGCACACCAGGAGCUGCACUCCCCUGCUAGAACUCCAGACAAGCUCUCGAGAAUCACUCAGGAGACAACGCACGCCCAAUUACCCCACUCUUCUGGCUUUCCCGUACGUAGAUAUGUAC
rnacentral:snRNA from 1 species